GAAACGGCGUUGACGAAGAAGAGUAGCUAUUAUGGAAACUGCAGAGAGCUGAUGGUUGGUGCAAAUCAGUGUGGAAGUAAUAGCGAAUGGGCUUCCGAGCCUCCAAACCGAACCUCUUUAAGGAGCAGUAGGCUUUGGCGAACGGUCUCAUCGUUACAAGAGACAGGUAUUCAAGCAUGAUGCUUUGAUACCGAUAAAGUGAGCUGAUUUUUCAGCUAAUGAAGGUGGCACCACGGGUUUCUCGUCCUUUAC
rnacentral:ncRNA from 1 species